CCCCCACGCCAGCUUUCCCUGAAACCCAACAGCCAGUCCCUGCGCAGUGGGAACUGGUCAGAAAGGAAGAGCCACCGGCUGCCACGAUUACCCAAGAGGCACAGCCAUGACGACAUGCUGCUGCUGGCUCAGCUGAGUCUGCCAUCCUCACCCUCCAGCCUCAAUGAAGACAGCCUCAGCACCACCAGCGAGCUGCUGUCCAGCCGCCGGGCCCGCCGCAUUCCCAAGCUUGUCCAAAGAAUUAACUCCAUCUACAAUGCCAAGAGAGGAAAGAAGAGAUUAAAAAAGUUGUCUAUGUCCAGCAUUGAAACAGCAUCACUGAGAGAUGAAAACAGUGAGAGCGAGAGCGACUCUGAUGACAGGUUCAAAGCCAAGUGGGAAAGGGCCCCGGUUGCCAGAGGUGUACUGUGUCAUCAGCCGCCUUGGCUGCUUCGGCUUGUUUUCCAAGGUCCUAGAUGAGGUGGAGCGCCGGCGUGGGAUCUCCGCUGCAUUGGUCUAUCCUUUCAUGAGAAGUCUCAUGGAGUCGCCCUUCCCAGCCCCAGGGAAGACCAUCAAAGUGAAGACAUUCCUGCCAGGUGCUGGCAAUGAGGUGUUAGAGCUGCGGCGGCCCAUGGACUCAAGGCUGGAGCACGUGGACUUUGAGUGCCUUUUUACCUGCCUCAGUGUGCGCCAGCUCAUCCGAAUCUUUGCCUCACUGCUGCUGGAGCGCCGGGUCAUUUUUGUGGCAGAUAAGCUCAG
rnacentral:sRNA from 1 species